rnacentral:rRNA from 1 species
GAGUUUGAUCCUGGCUCAGAGCGAACGUUAGCGGCGGGCUUAACACAUGCAAGUCGUGCGAGAAAGGUCCUUCGGGGCUGAGUAAAGCGGCGCACGGGUGCGUAACACGUAGGUAAUCUACCCUCGGGCGGGGGAUAACGUUUCGAAAGAGACGCUAAUACCGCAUAAGACCACGACCACUACGGUGGAUGUGGGAAAAGAUGGCCUCUCCAUGGAAGCUAUCACCUGAGGAUGAGCCUGCGGCCCAUCAGCUUGUUGGUGAGGUAACGGCUCACCAAGGCUAAGACGGGUAGCUGGUCUGAGAGGAUGAUCAGCCACACUGGCACUGGAACACGGGCCAGACUCCUACGGGAGGCAGCAGUGGGGAAUAUUGGACAAUGGGCGAAAGCCUGAUCCAGCCACGCCGCGUGAGUGAUGAAGGCCUUCGGGUUGUAAAGCUCUGUGGGGAAGGACGAAAACGGCACGGAACAAUACCCGUGUCCUUGACGGUACUUCCUUAGCAAGCACCGGCUAACUCUGUGCCAGCAGCCGCGGUAAGACAGAGGGUGCAAACGUUGCUCGGAAUCACUGGGCGUAAAGCGCGUGUAGGCUGAUUCGUAAGUCGGGUGUGAAAUCCCUGGGCUCAACCUAGGAACUGCAUCCGAAACUGCGUAUCUAGAGUGUCGGAGAGGGAAGCGG